rnacentral:lncRNA from 1 species
CUACUUCGCGCUAGCUAGUGGUCAUGUCAGGCCUGGAGGGAAAGUUCCACUACAACACUCUCUCCGUGCAUUUUUAAAUUUUUGUCAGAGAUAGAUUAUCUUAUCUACACGAACAAGAAUCAGAAAGAGGGAGCCGUGUGUCCCACGGUGACAAUAUCAUAGGCUUCGCUGGGAUCUAGAUCCUAAUGCCCAAGGUGCCAGGCAGCUGGUGCUCAGCACGAGUCCUCCACCCUCUAUAGGAGAAAGAAAAUCAGGGAGAUGUGGCAAGGGACAGCUGCCUCUGUCCUGACUGCCCUGGAGAUAGAAUGGCCUCUCCACCCUCAACUGCAGGUGAAUGCCAGAAAGAAGUCAUGUGCCCUCGGAUGCUCCCAUGUGACAAGAGAAUACAGGAAGACUUAAUGGUGGUGGCAGGGGCUCAGAGGUGGUAACUAAGCAGGACACAGGAUCCUGACCUUCCUUCUGGGGAGGACUUAGAGAUUUAAGGUGACUGCCAGGGCCUCAGAUCCAGUCCAUAGAUAAAUGGUCAGCAGAAAAGACCAGAGGAAUCUCCUGCAAGAUAGCUGACCCUUGGAGGUGACCAUGUGGGAGGGGCCACCCUUCCCUCAGGACUGGGCUCACCACCAUGACACCCCUCUCUUCUCUCUCCUCUGUAGCUCUGUCUCUGUCUCUCUGUCUGCCCCUUCCUAUCUCUCUCCUCUCUCUUCAUUUCCUCUCCAAGGUCUUCCCUUCCCCCUCCCUCAUUCACAUCCUUUCAGGCCUUUAAUUCCCACAACCACUUUGAAGGAAAGAGACAAUUUCUUCCAGAGCUGUGACCACCCACACACCUGGAGUCCCUAGGACUUGAGUCUUUAGUAAUGAAUUCUAAUCCUCAGCUCCCCGACACACAUCUGCCCCCGAGGAAGAAUGAGACAUCCUGUAGAUAUGACCAGUCUUAGCAGAAAACAAAGCUCCCGUCUUUAUUUUUUUUUCUUUUAGACUUUAACAAUACUUUUAUUAUUUAUUUAGCCCUUCGCAGCUCAGCCCACACAGAGAAAAGGGUUAUUUGUACUUCUGUAGCCUGUGUGGGUAUAUGAGUGAAGCAGAGCUGGCAUCAGCUGCUGGUACUGUGGAGCAAAGGGAGACCUAAGCACACGUAUAAAGGUGACCACGCCCAGGAGGGUUGAUUGGCAGGCUGGAAGACAAAUGCCCAAUAAAGGCAUUUAUUUUUUUU